ACUCAUAAUCUUUUUGACGUUUGAUUUGAAAUCGAGCUGAUUGUUUUUAUUAACAAUAUGGGUU
rnacentral:tRNA from 1 species